rnacentral:rRNA from 1 species
AACGAACGCUGGCGGCAGGCCUAACACAUGCAAGUCGAGCGAGGACUUCGGUUCUAGCGGCGGACGGGUGAGUAACGCGUGGGAAUGUGCCCUUCUCUACGGAAUAGCCCUGGGAAACUGGGAGUAAUACCGUAUACGCCCUAUUGGGGAAAGAUUUAUCGGAGAAGGAUCAGCCCGCGUUGGAUUAGGUAGUUGGUGGGGUAAUGGCCUACCAAGCCGACGAUCCAUAGCUGGUUUGAGAGGAUGAUCAGCCACACUGGGACUGAGACACGGCCCAGACUCCUACGCGAGGCAGCAGUGGGGAAUCUUAGACAAUGGGGGCAACCCUGAUCUAGCCAUGCCGCGUGAGUGAUGAAGGCCUUAGGGUUGUAAAGCUCUUUCAGCUGGGAAGAUAAUGACGGUACCAGCAGAAGAAGCCCCGGCUAACUCCGUG